rnacentral:rRNA from 1 species
UACAGAGGGUGCGAGCGUUAAUCGGAAUUACUGGGCGUAAAGCGCGCGUAGGCGGUUUUGCAAGUCGGGUGUGAAAUCCCCAGGCUUAACCUGGGAACUGCAUUCGAGACUGCAUUACUAGAGUAUGGGAGAGGGAAGUGGAAUUUCCGGUGUAGCGGUGAAAUGCGUAGAUAUCGGAGGAACAUCAGUGGCGAAAGCGACUUCCUGGACCAAUACUGACGCUCAUGUGCGAAAGCGUGGGGAGCAAACAGG